rnacentral:rRNA from 1 species
CUACGGGCUGCAGCAGUGGGGAAUAUUGCACAAUGGAGGAAACUCUGAUGCAGCAACGCCGCGUGGAGGAUGACACUUUUCGGAGCGUAAACUCCUUUUAUAUAGGAAGAAGAUGACGGUACUAUAUGAAUAAGCGCCGGCUAACUCCGUGCCAGCAGCCGCGGUAAUACGGAGGGCGCAAGCGUUACUCGGAAUCACUGGGCGUAAAGAGCGUGUAGGCGGAUUAAAAAGUCAGAAGUGAAAUCCUAUAGCUUAAAUAUAGAACUGCUUCUGAAACUCUUAAUCUAGAAUAUGGGAGAGGUAGAUGGAAUUUCUGGUGUAGGGGUAAAAUCCGUAGAGAUCAGAAGGAAUACCGAUUGCGAAGGCGAUCUACUAGAACAUUAUUGACGCUGAGACGCGAAAGCGUGGGGAGCAAACAGGAUUAGAUACACGUGUAGUC